UACAGAGGUCCCAAGCGUUGUUCGGAUUCAUUGGGCGUAAAGGGUGCGUAGGUGGCGCCGUAAGUCGGGUGUGAGAUUUCGGAGCUUAACUCCGAAACUGCAUUCGAUACUGCGGUGCUUGAGGACUGGAGAGGAGACUGGAAUUCAUGGUGUAGCAGUGAAAUGCGUAGAGAUCAUGAGGAAGACCAGUGGCGAAGGCGGGUCUCUGGACAGUUCCUGACACUGAGGCACGAAGGCCAGGGGAGCAAACGGG
rnacentral:rRNA from 1 species